rnacentral:rRNA from 1 species
CAGCCGCCGCGGGAAUACAGAGGGUGCGAGCGUUAAUCGGAUUUACUGGGCGUAAAGCGUGCGUAGGCGGCUAAUUGAGUCGGAUGUGAAAUCCCCGAGCUUAACUUGGGAAUUGCAUUCGAUACUGGUUAGCUAGAGUGUGGGAGAGGAUGGUAGAAUUCCAGGUGUAGCGGUGAAAUGCGUAGAGAUCUGGAGGAAUACCGAUGGCGAAGGCAGCCAUCUGGCCUAACACUGACGCUGAGGUACGAAAGCAUGGGGAGCAAACAGGAUUAGAUACCCGUGUAGUCCCUGUCUCUUAUAC